UACAGAGGUGGCAAGCGUUGUUCGGAAUUACUGGGCGUAAAGGGCGCGUAGGCGGUUCGUUAAGUCCUGUGUGAAAUCCCCCGGCUCAACUGGGGAACUGCACAGGAAACUAGCGGGCUUGAGUUCGGGAGAGGGAAGCGGAAUUCCGGGUGUAGCGGUGAAAUGCGUAGAUAUCCGGAGGAACACCGGUGGCGAAGGCGGCUUCCUGGACCAUAACUGACGCUGAGGCACGAAAGCGUGGGUAGCAAACAGG
rnacentral:rRNA from 1 species